AACGAACGCUGGCGGCAUGCCUAACACAUGCAAGUCGAACGAGACCUUCGGGUCUAGUGGCGCACGGGUGCGUAACGCGUGGGAACCUGCCCUUAGGUUCGGAAUAACUCCCCGAAAGGGGUGCUAAUACCGGAUAAUGUCUUCGGACCAAAGAUUUAUCGCCUUUGGAUGGGCCCGCGUUGGAUUAGCUAGUUGGUAGGGUAAAAGCCUACCAAGGCGACGAUCCAUAGCUGGUCUGAGAGGAUGAUCAGCCACACUGGGACUGAGACACGGCCCAGACCCCCAGGGGGGGGAGAAGGGGGGAAUAUGGGAAAGUGGGGGAAAGCCUGAACCGGCCAUGCCGGGGAGGGGGUGAAGGCUUUGGGGUUGAAAAGCUCUUUUACCCGGAAUGUAAAUGCCGGUACGGGGAGAAUAAGCCCCGGCUACCCCCG
rnacentral:rRNA from 1 species